GGGACGGGCGCGGCGUGAGCCCCGCGGUGCGGGUCUCGGGGCCGCAGCAGCGCCUUUCCCUCUUUUACCUUCCCUUCCCUUCCCUUUCCUUCCCUUCCCUUCCCUGCCCCUUCCCUCCCCGGAGCGGCGGCCGCCUCCGCCCCCGCGGCGGCGGGCGGGUUUCUGCCGGGGGCGGCGGGCGCGGGGUGGGGAGGACUGAGGCUGGAAAGGUGAGUGAGUGCUCGGAUUGCCGGAGCGCCGGUCUCGACCCGCGCCUACCGAAAUGAAGCUGCCAUUUGUGAGCUGUGAGUGACGAGCGUGUGUAUCUUAAUUUUCCCACUGCCACUACUGCCAGCUUCCUCCUGCUUCUUCAGUGAUGGUUACCCUGCAGAUGUGAGUGGCUGGCUGAGAGGGACGUGCUGCUGGGUCAGGCAGCAGCUGCCUGGAAAGGUCAAGGGAAAAUUGGAAGGAGGAAGGAAACAAAUGUGGCCAGCAGGUCGAGGGAGGUGAUUCUGCCCCUCUACUCCACUCUGGUAAAACGCCACCUGAAUUACUUCAUCCAGCUCCGGAGCCUUCAGCACAGGAAAGAAAAUGUUGGAACAGGUCCAGAGGAAGGCCAGAUAAAGGAUCAGAGGGCUGGAGCACCCCUCCUAUGAAGACAGGCUGAGAGAGUUGGGCUUGUUCAGCCUGGAGAAGAGAAGACUCCAGGGACACCUUACUGCAGCCUUUCAGUACUUAAAGAGCACCUACAGGAAAGAGCGGGACAAACUUUUCAGCUGGGCCUGUAGCAAUAGGACAAGGGGUAAUGGCUUUAAACUAAGAGGGAAGAUUUAGAGUAGAUAUAAGGAAGAAAUUUUUUACCAUGAGAGUGGUGAAACACCAGAACAGGUUGCCCAGAGAGGUGGUAGAUGCCCCAUGCUUGGAAAUAUUCAAGGUCAGGUUGGAUGGGGCUCUGAGCAACCUGAUCUAGUUGAAGAUGUCCCUGCUUAUUGCAGGGGAAGUUGUACUAGGUGACCUUUAAAGACCCCUUCCAACCCAAACUAUUCUAUGAUUCUAACAAAUGAUCAUUACAGGAUAAUCAACAGAGAAGACAGAAGGAGUACCAGCAGGGGUGAGAUGGAGACAAUGCUACACACAGAAGCAACCAGUACAUCCCAAACAUUUCGGCAACAAUGAUGUAUUCCCAGGUGAUGGGGAGAUUAUAGUAUGGAGAGAAGUUCUUAUGAGCGUAAAGCGAAGAUGAUUGUAUGCUGGGUAAGAAGCUUCACCAGGGAGAAGUUGCCUGUGGUAGGAGAAAUGCAUGAGCAUGUACUGAAGAGAUGUAGUUAAGGUCGCCAGUUAGAUUGUUUUUUUAAAAGUUGUUUGGAGUUCUGCUUGUGCAGCAAUGGGACACCAUUGAGGGCAAGGCUGCUGAGGUACGGUGCUGGGCAAUAAAGUGGUGUGAGAUUUUCA
rnacentral:lncRNA from 1 species